UACGUAGGGGGCUAGCGUUGUCCGGAUUUAUUGGGCGUAAAGAGCGUGUAGGCGGCCAAGUAGGUCCGGUGUGAAAACUCGAGGCUUAACCUCGAGAUGUCAUCGGAAACCAUCUGGCUAGAGUCCGGGAGAGGAGAGUGGAAUUCCUGGUGUAGCGGUGAAAUGCGCAGAUAUCAGGAAGAACACCCGUGGCGAAAGCGGCUCUCUGGAACGGUACUGACGCUGAGACGCGAAAGCGUGGGGAGCGAACAGG
rnacentral:rRNA from 1 species